GACAGAGGGGGCAAGCGUUGCUCGGAAUUACUGGGCGUAAAGGGCGCGUAGGCGGGAUGGCAAGUCGGUCGUGAAAUCCCUCGGCUCAACCGAGGAACGUCGAUCGAUACUGCUGUUCUUGAGGAUUGCAGAGGAGACUGGAAUUCCCGGUGUAGCGGUGAAAUGUGUAGAGAUCGGGAGGAACACCGGUGGCGAAGGCGGGUCUCUGGGCAAUUCCUGACGCUCAUGCACGAAAGCGUGGGGAGCAAACAGG
rnacentral:rRNA from 1 species